rnacentral:rRNA from 1 species
AGGCCUAACACAUGCAAGUCGAACGGUAACAGGAAGCAGCUUGCUGCUUUGCUGACGAGUGGCGGACGGGUGAGUAAUGUCUGGGAAACUGCCUGAUGGAGGGGGAUAACUACUGGAAACGGUGGCUAAUACCGCAUAACGUCGCAAGACCAAAGAGGGGGACCUUCGGGCCUCUUGCCAUCAGAUGUGCCCAGAUGGGAUUAGCUUGUUGGUGAGGUAACGGCUCACCAAGGCGACGAUCCCUAGCUGGUCUGAGAGGAUGACCAGCCACACUGGAACUGAGACACGGUCCAGACUCCUACGGGAGGCAGCAGUGGGGAAUAUUGCACAAUGGGCGCAAGCCUGAUGCAGCCAUGCCGCGUGUAUGAAGAAGGCCUUCGGGUUGUAAAGUACUUUCAGCGGGGAGGAAGGUGUUGUGGUUAAUAACCGCAGCAAUUGACGUUACCCGCAGAAGAAGCACCGGCUAACUCCGUGCCAGCAGCCGCGGUAAUACGGAGGGUGCAAGCGUUAAUCGGAAUUACUGGGCGUAAAGCGCACGCAGGCGGUCUGUCA